AUUGAACGCUGGCGGCAGGCCUAACACAUGCAAGUCGAGCGGAAGCACGGUGCUUGCUCCUGGAUUCAGCGGCGGACGGGCGGGUGAUGCCGAGGAAUCUGCCUGUCUGCGUUUUAGAAGGGCCGAAAACGGGGGCAAUUACGCCAAACGCCCUUAGGAAGUAAGGGGGGAAGCUUGGGACCUCAGGCUAUUGCACGAGCCGAGGUCGGGUUAGCUAGUUGGCGGGGUAAAGGCCUACCAAGGCGACGAUCCGUAGCUGGUCUGAGAGGAUGAUCAGUCACACUGGAACUGAGACACGGUCCAGACUCCUACGGGAGGCAGCAGUGGGGAAUAUUGGACAAUGGGCGCAAGCCUGAUCCAGCCAUGCCGCGUGUGUGAAGAAGGUCUUCGGAUUGUAAAGCCCUUUAGGUUGGGAGGAAGAGCAGUAAGUUAAUACCUCGCUGUUUUGACGUUACCCAAAGAAUAAGCACCGGCUAACUUCGUG
rnacentral:rRNA from 1 species